UGCCUCCUGCGGGGCACGCGUGGCCGGGAUGAUUCCUGAACCAACAUUGUCUAUCCGGGGGAUCUUCAGUCAUCACCGUGGUGUGCAGCUCCUGCAUGGAGUAGCCUGAAGCGGUGUGUGGAUCCCCACCUGUGCAUCAGGUUCAUGGGGUAGCGGGCCGUACGACCCAGGCGGGAGGUCU
rnacentral:other from 1 species